rnacentral:rRNA from 1 species
CAGCCGCCGCGGGAAUACGAGGGGGGCAAGCGUUGUUCGGAAUUAUUGGGCGUAAAGGGUGCGUAGGCGGUUUCGCAAGUUCUAUGUGAAAUCUAUGGGCUCAACCCAUAGUCUGCAUGGAAAACUGCGAGGCUUGAGGAUGGGAGAGGUGAGUGGAAUUUCCGGUGUAGCGGUGAAAUGCGUAGAUAUCGGAAGGAACACCUGUGGCGAAAGCGGCUCACUGGACCAUAACUGACGCUGAUGCACGAAAGCUAGGGGAGCAAACAGGAUUAGAUACCCCUGUAGUCCCUGUCUCUUAUAC